AUUGAACGCUGGCGGCAGGCUUAACACAUGCAAGUCGAACGAGUGGCGGACGGGUUAGUAAUGCUUGUGCAUCUAGCUUAUGGAGGGGGAUAACUACGGGAAACUGUAGCUAAUACCGCGUACCAUAGGCUGAGCCCAAGUGGGAUUAGGUAGUUGGGGAGGAAAAGGCUCACCAAGCCGACGAUCUCUAGCUGGUCUGAGAGGAUGACCAGCCACACUGGGACUGAGACACGGCCCAGACGCCUACGGGAGGCAGCAGUGGGGAAUAUUGCGCAAUGGGGGAAACCUGACGCAGCCAUGCCGCGUGAAUGAAGAAGGCCUUCGGGUUGUAAAGUUCUUUCGGUAGCGAGGCGUUAACUACAGAAGAAGCACCGGCUAACUCCGUGCCAGCAGCCGCGGUAAUUC
rnacentral:rRNA from 1 species